UAGGUUGGUGCAAAAGUAAUUGCAGUUUUUGCCAUUGAAAACAAUAGCAAAAACUGCAGUUACUUUUGCACCAAUUUAAUA
ensembl:miRNA